rnacentral:rRNA from 1 species
UACAGAGGUCUCAAGCGUUGUUCGGAUUCAUUGGGCGUAAAGGGUGCGCAGGCGGCGGGGCAAGUCGGACGUGAAAUCUCGGGGCUUAACCCCGAAACUGCGUUCGAUACUGCCGUGCUUGAGGACUGGAGAGGAGACUGGAAUUUACGGUGUAGCGGUGAAAUGCGUAGAUAUCGUAAGGAAGACCAGUGGCGAAGGCGGGUCUCUGGACAGUUCCUGACGCUGAGGCACGAAGGCCAGGGGAGCAAACGGG